rnacentral:lncRNA from 1 species
GAAGAUUGGUUAACUUACAAACAAAAUCGAUAUGUAGAAAAUAAAAUAAAAUUAUAAGAAAAUGGAGAAGAUAUUCAUGGAUUCAUGCUAUUGCUGAAGCUAGCUCACGGAUGAUGGGCUGAGUAAUCGUGGCGUGCAAGCCGACAUAAAAAGCACACAUCAUGAAUCUGUAUAGUUUACGGUCCCUUUCCAGACAAUUCUUUAUCCC